rnacentral:rRNA from 1 species
GAUGAACGCUGGCGGCGUGCCUAAUACAUGCAAGUCGAGCGAAGCGGGGACGGGGGAGUAACACGUGGAUAACCUCCUAUAAGACUGGGAUAACUUCGGGAAACCGUAGCUAAUCCGGAUACUUAGAGAUGGAGUCGCGCUGCAUUAGCUAGUUGGUAAGGUAACGGCUGACCAAGUCAACGAUGCAUAGCCGCCCUGAGAGGGUGAUCGGCCACACUGGAACUGAGACACGGUCCAUACUCCUACGGGAGGCAGCAGUAGGGAAUCUUCCGCAAUGGGCGCAAGCCUGACGGAGCAACGCCGCGUGAGUGAUGAAGGUCUUCGGAUCGUAAAGCUCUGUUAUUAGGGAAGCGGUACCUAAUCAGAAAGCCACGGCUAACUACGUGCCAGCAGCCGCGGUAAUUC